UCGAACUUAAAAUGGAUUCAGAAUUAAGACUCAAAGGCAAGCUGAAAAUGGGCUUAAAUUGGGCUCAAAAUCAAUUCAAAUGGACUUGAACCUAACACAAUUAAAUCCAAAUUGGCAUCCGAUAUACGGUGGACCGACCGCUAGGUCCACAAAAUAAGCCACGUGGUCCAUAGAAAUUCGUUCGGUCCACAGUCAUGGUCCAUGGGGCAACCUGGCUCCUGUGCAUUGAUCGAUGGCUGAGAUUAUGCUGAACACG
rnacentral:lncRNA from 1 species